UACAGAGGUCCCAAGCGUUGUUCGGAUUCAUUGGGCGUAAAGGUGCGUAGGCGGCGCGGUAAGUCGGGUGUGAAUCUCGGGGCUUAACUCCGAAACUGCAUUCGAUACUGCCGUGCUUGAGGACUGGAGAGGAGACUGGAAUUUACGGUGUAGCGGUGAAAUGCGUAGAUAUCGUAAGGAAGACCAGUGGCGAAGGCGGGUCUCUGGACAGUUCAUGACGCUGAGGCACGAAGGCCAGGGGAGGCAAAACGG
rnacentral:rRNA from 1 species